GAUGAACGCUAGCGACAGGCUUAACACAUGCAAGUCGAGGGGCAUCGGGACGUAGCAAUACGUUGCCGGCGACCGGCGGAUGGGUGAGUAACGCGUAUGCAACCUGCCCACGACAGGGGGACAGCCCGUUGAAAGACGGAUUAAUACCCCGUAACACAGGGGCUCCGCAUGGAGAUUAUUGUUAAAGGGAUACUUCCUUCGGGGGGUAUUCCGGCUGAAGAUGGGCAUGCGUUCCAUUAGGUAGUUGGUUGAGGUAACGGCUCACCAAGCCUACGAUGGAUAGGGGAACUGAGAGGUUGGUCCCCCACACUGGUACUGAGACACGGACCAGACUCCUACGGGAGGCAGCAGUGAGGAAUCUUGGUCAAUGGACGGAAGUCUGAACCAGCCAUGUCGCGUGAAGGAGGACGGCCCUAAGGGUUGUAAACUUCUUUUGCAGCGGAAUAAAGUAUUCCACGAGAUGGGAUAUUGCAAGUACGCUGCGAAUAAGGAUCGGCUAACUCCGUG
rnacentral:rRNA from 1 species